UACGAAGGGGGCUAGCGUUGCUCGGAAUUACUGGGCGUAAAUGGCGCGUAGGCGGACAGUUUAGUCAGAGGUGAAAGCCCAGGGCUCAACCUUGGAACUGCCUUUGAUACUGGCUGUCUUGAGUUCGGGAGAGGUGAGUGGAAUGCCGAGUGUAGAGGUGAAAUUCGUAGAUAUUCGGCGGAACACCAGUGGCGAAGGCGACUCACUGGCCCGAUACUGACGCUGAGGCGCGAAAGCGUGGGGAGCAAACAGG
rnacentral:rRNA from 1 species